rnacentral:sRNA from 1 species
GCUGGGUGCAGUGGCAUACACCUGUAAUCCCAGCAACUUGGGAGGCUGAGGCAGGAGGAUUGUAAGUACAAGACUAACCUCAGCAACUUAGUGAGGCUCUAAGGACUUAGCAAGUCCCUAUCUCAA